UUUUCACCGUUUUGUUGUGUAUUAAAUAAUCAAUACCUAACGGUAAAUACUAAUAGUACUAUGAAAACUUAGGGUAAACCCUAAAUAGACACUUCGGAUUCAUUGCUUUAUGCUUAUUUUUAAUGUAAAAUUAGGGUGUAAAAUAAAUUGGUUCAAAAAUGGAGUGAUUUUGGGCAUGAAAGUCGCAUAUGCACGUGUAAGUUCCACGGAUCAGAAUUU
rnacentral:sRNA from 1 species